rnacentral:rRNA from 1 species
ACUCCUACGGGAGGCAGCAGUAGGGAAUCUUCCACAAUGGGCGCAAGCCUGAUGGAGCAACACCGCGUGAGCGAAGAAGGGUUUCGGCUCGUAAAGCUCUGUUGUUAAAGAAGAACACGUAUGAGAGUAACUGUUCAUACGUUGACGGUAUUUAACCAGAAAGUCACGGCUAACUACGUGCCAGCAGCCGCGGUAAUACGUAGGUGGCAAGCGUUAUCCGGAUUUAUUGGGCGUAAAGAGAGUGCAGGCGGUUUUCUAAGUCUGAUGUGAAAGCCUUCGGCUUAACCGGAGAAGUGCAUCGGAAACUGGAUAACUUGAGUGCAGAAGGGGGUAGUGGAACUCCAUGUGUAGCGGUGGAAUGCGUAGAUAUAUGGAAGAACACCAGUGGCGAAGGCGGCUACCUGGUCUGCAACUGACGCUGAGACUCGAAAGCAUGGGUAGCGAACAGGAUUAGAUACCCUGGUAGGAUAGCG